rnacentral:tRNA from 1 species
GGAGAGGUGCCUGAGUGGUUGAAAGGAGCCGCCUGCUAAGCGGUUGACCUGGGAAACUGGGUCCCCGAGUUCGAAUCUCGGCCUCUCCGCCA